GGCGAUCUGUUCGCCAAGGCUCCGCAGAUCAUGAAACUCGACAUUAUCGCUUCCAAGCUUCCGAAAUAGGCCUUAGAGCGCGGCGCAUCGGUUUUAUAUCGCUCCUAUAUCGAAGGCAGCCCGGCCCUCUCGAAUUCCUAUGGCCCACAGAUCAUCUUCCGGUUGUCACUCCGCAUCUGCGUCGUGGCGAUUUGGGAGAUGGCCAUGGCCGCUUUGUUUACCGGCGACGACAAUCGCAACUUCUAUGCCGAGGA
rnacentral:misc_RNA from 1 species